GAUCAAUUUAGACCUUUCUCUCUCCGCGGAGUUUAGAGUCGAGAUUACAGCUCGUAAUCCCAACGAAAAAAUCGGGAUUUACUACGAAAAAGGAGGUCAUAUCGGUGUAUGGUACGACAAAACAAAGCUUUGCGAGGGGCCUAUACCGAGGUUUUAUCAAGGGCAUCGCAAUGUGACUAAACUAAAUGUGGCUCUAACAGGAAGAGCACAAUACGGGAACACUAUAUUGACGGCUUUACAGCAGCAGCAACAGACCGGACGUGUCCCAUUAGAUCUUAAAGUGAAUGCACCUGUUGCAGUAAAACUCGGGAAAUUGAAGAUGAAGAAGAUUCGGAUAUUGGGGAAUUGUAAGCUUGUUGUUGAUAGCUUAUCAACAAACAAUAAUAUCAACAUCAAAGCUAGUGAUUGUAGUUUUAAAGUCAAACUAUGAGAUGUUCUUAGUUCUAGGCUUUUAUUGUUUACUCGUGUCACUCAAUUCAUUAUUCACUUAUACAUUUGAUUUAUGUUCUGAAUUUCUGGUUUUAAACUAAUAAGAUGGAAAGAGUAAAAAUUGUAUGAUAUUAAAACCCAAAAUUUAGUUAAGAAAAGGAAAAAAAAUUAGUAAUACGAAACAUUAGACAAAAUACAUCGUUGUUCGUGUCACAAUUAAACAUUUGAAAUAUUUAUUACAUCUGAGCCAACUUGUAAAUGGCCUAAGAACUUUACUUUUCUGGGCAUUUUUGAUUUUUCCUCAAAUGAAAUAAAACUUUGUCUAUGAAAUGUGACAAUAAACAUUUUCAAGAUUAGAGAGUGCCUUCAAUUGAUGCAAAACCUUGCAGAUAACAAAUGUCAUAGAAUCUGUUAUCUUAUUAAAUCUGUUGUCUUUUUUUUUUUAAUCUUUUCGAGUUAACGUUGAUCAUUGAUUCUUGAAGCACAGAAUGUAAGUGCAUGCUUCAGCGGAGACUGAACAUAAAUAAAAGUGUCAAGAUUUCAGAAUUGCUGGAACAAGAUCGAAGUUGUUUUAGUGAGACGAAAUAUUGAAGAAGCAUUAAUUGAUGACGUGGACUAUGUGAUGCACUCAAUAUACUAAUGGAGAUAUUCUUACUUGUUGUGGAAGAUUCGUGCAACCGAAUAUCUACAAGAUUUGGAGGAUAUGAUUAAAUCAAGAAAAAAGGAAAACUGAUAUUAUCGGGGUAGGCAAACCUAGACGAUAUCUUAACCCACAAAUAUAAAAGGGAUGGAGGAGGUGUUUAUGAGGUUAAGCCGUUUGUGAGAGAAGAAUUCGUUCAUAAGAUUUUCUAUUUUAGAGAGUACGAGUUAACGUAGAAAACAAGUUAUGUAUUGUCUCUUCUUUAGUUUAGUUUAGAAAUCGUUUUGCCCUCAAGCUAAGAAGGUGUUCUAAGGCUGUGAGUAAGUCCAAUUAAGAGUAUGUAAUCAUCUCAAAGAUUUCUAAUAAAAGUUGAUACUUGGUGCGCCAAGUUUUGGGAUUUCUUGUGUUUAUGUGUCCAUCUCGUUUUUUCACUUGGUAUCAGAGCAUGCAUCUUAACUGAGUUUUUACUCAACAAGGUAAAUAUCCUGUAAAGGAAGAUGGACGCAUCACGAGAGGUAGCUUUUGUGCAACGAUCAAUCAUGCUUGGAGAAACAAACUAUGGUCGUUGGAAAGUCAAGAUGCGGCAUAAUAUUCGAAGUAUUAGUGAUAAUGCUUGGACUGCGGUUGAAACUGGUUGGACUGAACCAUAUGUGAAAGGUGAAGAUGGAGAAGACGUGCCAAAGCCUAAUGAUAAGUGGACCGAUGAUGAGAAAAAAUUGUCCAAGAUGAAUUCAAGAGCGUUGACUGCGAUCAAGAACCCAAAUAUAAAGAAUCCUGACGGAACGAUAAAUCAAGCUAUUGUUAUAAAAGUAACCUUGAUUUGGCAUUUAGAAAACUCAGCAACUCAAAAUCACCUCUUACACCAAAUUGAUAAGAAAAAGUCAUUAUUUCAUAUAUUUCCAGAAAAGAAAUAACAAAAAAUAUGUCAUCACUGUGAGAGGGUAUUUUUUUUGUGAUUUCCUUUAUGGAAAUAUCGAGAAUGGUUAACUUUUUAUUAAUUUGGCUCAACAGGAUACUCUGAGCUGCAAAGUUUUCGGAUUGCCAAUUUACGGUUGCUCUCGCAUCAUUGAUUUGCUUCACUGUUCCAUCAAAAUUCUUUAUGUUUUCCUUGUAUCCUUAGGUGCUAAGAAUAUAAAGAAAACAAUUAUGAGGUACCAGCUAUGCAAACAGAGGCAACACAAUUCUUUUAUCAAAUAAGUUUCAAGGUGUUUAGAGGUUAUAUUUGACUCUCAAAACUUGACACACAAACUGAAAUGACAAAUGCAAAAGAACUUCAUCUUCUCGCUUCAAUGAUUGAUUAAAAAAGUCUUUUUAAGUCACUCACACACUUUUGUAACUUAAUCAAACUUGAACCUUCACUAAAACUAGCUAAAGGCUGAUCAAUCUAGCCUAAUGGAUUCUGUAUUAAAUCACCAUUUAGAAGAUGAAGUUUUUCAAAGAACAUAUUCAAACAUUAACAUAACCGGUUCAAGCAUUAAAAGAACAUAACACAAACAAUAUACAUCAUUCAAGCAUUUGACGAACAUUGAUCAAAGAAGAAACACACAAAUAUUGAUAAAAUAAGAUAAACAAAAUAAAUCAUAACAUAAGAACUCACAACAAAUUUCUAAAUCAAUAUUAAUAUGAUUUACCGAGGAUAUAAACCUUCUCUACCCUUGUCCCUAAGUUAUAGAUGAGCUAAACAUGACUUCUCUCUCCUAACAAAUCAAAGGUCAUUGUUACAUAUCCAUUACUUUUGCUAGUAACAUCACAAAGGGAGUAAUUUAAUUCAACCCUAUCACUAGAAAUUUAAUAUAAUUUUGGAAUUGUGAAGAGAAAUCUAGAUUUAACAUAAACAAAGAAUAAAUACCAGAGAUAUAAUAAACUAAAAUCGAGAUUGUGUGCUCAUGAUAGAAACCAAAGAGAAUCCAUUCGAUUUCAAAAGCAUUAAAGUUAACGCAGAUUACAUCACACAAUAGUUAAAGAUCGAAAGCUCUUACCUUUUGAUAUGAACUAAGAUCCUUCACUAUCCUUACGACUCUGAUUGAGGGGAAAACAAAGACAGAUCGGUUGCUAGGUUGCAGAGCAAACAUCGGAUUCAGACACAAAUCAGUCGGAUUCAGAUUCAAACCUUUGAUGGUAUCGUCAUCAACGAGAGUCUACAAAGGGAGAAAGAGGUGGAGAAAAUUUUGCCCAGAAGAGAGAAAGAUAACACAACAAAUUUUUUUUUUGUCUUUUGUUAAAUUUAGGCCAUCCACUCACGUGAUGACACGACAACGAUUCUAAGAUUUUCUAAAAGAGAAAAUUGUAAAGAGUGCCAUGAACAGUGAUAAAACUUAUAUGGAAUGCCAUUUCAAAAAACCUCUUCUCCCGCCUGCCACAAGAGUUCUGUAUAAAGACCGACGUACCCCUGGAUGAAUUGGCUGCUCUGUGUUGUGACUGUUCAUUUUUUUUCAUUAUCUCUUUCUCUUCUUCAUCUUCUUCUUCUUCUUCUUCUUCCAACAACAAACAAUUUCAGCGGACCAGAUCCGACGGACGAACUCCGGCGGACCAAAUCAGGCGGACCAGAUUCGACAGACCAGAUCCGGCGGACCAUAUUCGACAGACCAGAUCCGGCGGACCAUAUUCGACAGACCAGAUCCGGCGGACCAUAGCAAUUCUGGUCCAGAUUCGGCAGACAAGAUUCAACGGACCAGUUCCGACAAACCAUAACUCCAGCGGACGAGUUCUGGUAGACCACAGUCAGUUCUAAUGAACUAUAACCAGUUCAAGCAGAACAUAUUCGGCGGACCAGUUUCGAC
rnacentral:lncRNA from 1 species